GUCCCCAACCCUCAGACCGAGCCUCCAUUGGCAUCUGAACGCUAGCACUGCUGAGGCCGUGUACAGUGAGGGAGAGAGCGUCGCCGUCGUCGACCACUCCCUACACCGUCGUCGUGCCCUUGUAGUACUGUCUAGGAGAUUCGCCUAAUCGUACCGCUCGUGAGUGACCACGUCGGGAGGGCGGGACCUAGCCGUACAUCCCUCAAUUGCUCGCCAGAGGAGGGUCGUCACCCUGGUUCCGUGCCUCGCCGUGGGCGGGGGGUCUGGGCAUCACGAUUAGCCGGUAAGUCCGCCUCGCUUAAAUCACAGAUUCCUAGUCUUCGUGUAGCACCUGUCUGCGUUCGAUUUGGAGCACCUGUGCCUUAGUUAGCUGACCUCACCGGAGUUCUCCCCGCGGCUCUGAGCGCGCCACCGUCCCUGGUCGCUCAUUCGGGGGGAAACAACUAGAGCCGUCGAUUCCAAGGAGAACGGUUUGGAUUAGAUCCUAGGAGCGCUUCGGGGAAGAUCGCGUCUAGUGCGCAAUGACAGAUCGGACGGAUUGGGGUGAACCUUGGUGUUUAGAAUCUGGGUGGUCAAAUUUGGAUCCUGCAGUUGGAUUGGCGUUCUGUGUCUGGCGUGAUCUACAGCCGUCCAGAUCUAAUCCAACGGCCAGGGUUUCUGGAUACCCCUUCGGUCCCACCACUUUUGUAAAGAGAUCCCGGACUUAUUUAUAAUUAACCUGCAGUCCAUCACAGGUUUAAUCCGAGUCUAGGAAAUUUUAUGAGUUGGUCCCGGUACUCUUAAGUAUUCCUGUGCGCAAUCCAGAGAGCUGUUAAAUGGCAUAAAAGUUAUAGAAAAAGAGUUUUGUAUUAAAAUAAUUAUAGAAACUUGUUUAAUAAUAAAUCUAUUUUAAUUCUGUUUUGAUCCAUUAUAGUUACAUUAAUUUUGUAUUAAUAUUGUCUAUCACCGGAUAACUUUAUUUUGUCAUGAAAAACAUAGAUUAAAAUUAUUCAUUUGGUUUAAUCGAUAUCAACCACUUAAUAACUUCAGAAAAUCAUAACUUGAUAAACGUAACUCUAAAUUUAGUGAUUCUCGAACCUAUGAUCUCAUUACGAUGCGUAGAAUAUUAUUAUGCAGUAUAAUCUCAUGUUUGGUGUGAUGUUAAUUUCUCUUAUACCAUGUUUGUUUGUAUUGUUGCGAGUAGACGAGCAAGCCACUGAGGAUCUAGGUGUUCAGCAGGUAGUGGAGCUCGCUGAAGGCAAGUAGUGCCCUUGACCACUUUUAUUACCAAUUAAUGUUCUCUGUAAUAACUAUGGCAUGAUUAGGCUUAAUUUUGAUGGGACCCAAUAGGUCACCCUAGUCUGCUUUAUCUUGUAUCUUGAUCACCACUGAACUUUUUAGGUAGUCUUGCUAUUGCUAUAUAUGGUUUUGGGUAUUGAGAUAAAUUUGACACAUGAUCAUUUUUUUAUUAUUGUUGAUUAUUUAUUGCUCAUGGUAAGAUUACUGUGUUAAUUGGAACAUGGAGAACCACCCGGGAAAACAGUGCUACCACAAGGGUGGAAUGGGACACCCUUGGCCAAGUAAUUAGGAAAACUAGAAAGAGAUUACCUUACCUGAAAGGGGCAAGCGGGGAGGCGUCGCUGCAGAGUAUAGGGAGGUUCUCGGGUCAGACAGUCUGGCAUUCCGGACGGGGGAUUCCUAUGCUUCCUUCUUCCUGAACCCAUAGCGGGUUUUCUCGAACUAGUGGAACUUUGGAAAGGCCUCGUAGUGCUACCCUAUCUCGUCUCCUUGGUAGAGAUGAAUGGGAAGUCGUGAUCCCUUGGCAAAUGGGUAACAUGACUUGUGGGUAAAGAUGUGCAACCUCUACAGAGUGUAAAACUGGUAUAUCAGUCGUGCUCACGGUUAUGAGCGGUCCUGUCGGGGACCAUAAUUAGGGGUACCCUCAAGACGCCUAAUUCUCAGCUGGUAACCCCCAUCAGCAUAAAGCUGCGAAUGCCUGAUGGGUACGAUUAAGUCAGGGAUCAGUCCACAUGAGUGACUCGAUCACGCUUCACCCGAGCCUAGCCUCGGCCAAGGGCAGCCGACCUCGAGAGACUUCCGUCUCGCCCGAGGCCCCCCUUUUUACGGCGGACACAUCACCGGCUCGCCCGAGGCCUUGGCUUCGCUCAGAAGCAACCCUGAUUAAAUCGCCACACCGACUGACCAAAUUGCAGGAGCAUUUAACGCAAAGGUGGCCUGACACCUUUAUCCUGACACGCGCCCCCCCGGCAGAGCCGAAGUGACCGCCGUCACUCCACCGCUCCACUGACCAGUCUGACAGAAGGACAGCGCCGCCUGCGCCACUCCGACUACGGUGCCACUCGACAGAGUGAGUCUGACAGGCAGUCAGGCCUUGCCAAAGGCGCCACGGCGAACUCCGCUCCACCCGACCCCAGGGCUCGGACUCGGGCUAAGACCCGGAAGACGGCGAACUUCGCUCCGCCCGACCCCAGGGCUCGGACUCGGGCUAAGACCCGGAAGACGACGAACUCCGCUCCGCCCAACCCCAGGGCUCGGACUCGGGCUAAGACCCGGAAGACGGCGAACUCCGCUCCGCCCGACCCCAGGGCUCGGACUCGGGCUAAGACCCGGAAGAGCGCGGGACCGAGGACGGGACAGGCGCUCUCUUGGGGCCGCUCGCUUCCCUCACCCGCGUGGACGCUUGUAACCCCCCUACUGCAAGCGCACCCGACCUGGGCGCGGGAGGAACACGAAGGUCGCGGAACUUCCACCUCUCUCACGCUCGACUCCGGCCACCUCGCCUCUCCCCCCUUCGCGCUCGCCCACGCGCUCGACCCAUCUUGGCUGGGGCACGCAACACACUCACUCGUCGGCUUAGGGACCCCCCUGUCUCGAAACGCCGACAGUUGGCGCGCCAGGUAGGGGCCUGCUGCGUGCUGACGAACAGCUCCCCGUCAAGCUCCAUAUGGGCAGUCUCCAGCAACCUCUCCGGCCCGGGGCGGUGCUUCGUUUCGGGACUCUUGAGUUCAUGUCCUUCGACGGCAGCUACGACAUGAUACUUCUUCCACCACCGCGCGACAACGACAAUGGCGGCCGACAACCCGCCCGCCGGCGGCGGAAUCGACGACAUCUUCCCCGCGUGGUGGAAGAGCAACAUUCGAGCUCGCUCCGUUCUCUCCCCCGCCAACGGAGGAGGAGGCGGGGCCAUCAAGGCCAAGCGGGAGGCCGUGCUUCGUUGGCCGUCGAGCGAAUCGACGCCCCCGACGCCCCGACGGAAGGCACGCCGGACGUCGACCUCGCGUUCAAGACGAAGGCAAGCGCCGUCCCCCCGCGACACGCUGACCCCGAGCAAGAAGACGACGCCGGCGCGCUCGCGGAAAGCCUGCAGUACGUCGCCCUCGUACCUGAGAUGGCGGUGCAACCAGCCCCCGAUGUGACUACGUCGCUCCUCGUCGACCAAAAGGUACCAACUGACUCCCAUCUUACGUCAUUUCGACUCGGCCUCAACCCGCCAAACGACCUCGCUUUGGCGGGCGCUCUCAUUGAGGCGAGUGCAACCCCACUGGGGUUUCGUAUGCGGUCGCCUUGGGACCGACUGACGGACGUCUCGACCUACGGGCCCUCUGGGUCCGAGGAAGAUGACGAUCCCAGCAUCUGUUGGGAUUUCUCCGGACUUGGCAACCCCAGUGCCAUGCGGGACUUCAUGACCGCAUGUGACUACUGCCUCUCCGACUGUUCCGACGGAAGCCGCAGCCUUGGCGACGAGAGCUGCGGCCCAAGCCGCGAAUGUUUCCACAUCGAGCUAGGGGAUCCCUCCGAAGGCAACCAUCUCGGCAUGCCGGAGGACGGUGAUCCUCCUAGGCUGGUGCCUCGCGCCGACAUCCCACGGGAGCUAGCUGUGGUCCCCGCUCCGGCGGGGGGUUACGACCCACAACUCGAGCAAGUCCGCGAGGCGCAGGCCAGGCUCGACGAGGGAACAGGAGCGCUUGAGCCGAUCCGUCGGGACGUCGGGCAGGUAUGGGCGGGCCAACCCCUGGCCGGAGAAAUACGUCACCUGCCCCAAGGUCUCCAGCACCGCGUCGCCAACGAUGUCAGGGUCAGGCCGCCGCCCGCAUCCAGCGGGGUUGGUCAGAACCUGGCAGCUGCAGCGAUGCUCCUCCGCGCGAUGCCGGAGCCAUCAACCACCGAGGGUCGGCGAAUCCAGGGAGAGCUCAAGAAUCUCCUAGAAGGCGCUGCGGCCCGACGGGCCGAGAGCACUGCCUCCCGAAGGCAGGGAUAUCCCUCGGAACCUCAUGCCGCGACUUCCCGAUUCAUGCGGGAAGCCUCGGUCUACACCGGGCGCACGCGCAACACCGCGCCUGCGGCCCCGGGCCACCUCGGCAACGAGCACCACCGACGCGACCGUCGGGCUCACCUCGACGAAAGGGUGCACCGAGGCUACCACCCCAGGCGUGGGGGGCGCUACGACAGCGGGGAGGAUCGGAGUCCCUCGCCCGAACCACCCGGUCCGCAGGCCUUCAGUCGGGCCAUCCGACGGGCGCCAUUCCCGACCCGGUUCCGACCCCCGACUACUAUCACGAAGUACUCGGGGGAAACGAGACCGGAACUGUGGCUCGCGGACUACCGCCUUGCUUGCCAACUGGGUGGGACGGACGACGACAACCUCAUCAUCCGUAACCUCCCCCUGUUCCUCUCCGACACUGCUCGCGCCUGGUUGGAGCACCUGCCUCCGGGGCAGAUCUCCAACUGGGACGACUUGGUCCAAGCCUUCGCUGGCAAUUUCCAGGGCACAUACGUGCGCCCCGGGAAUUCCUGGGACCUUCGAAGCUGCCGGCAACAGCCGGGGGAGUCGCUCCGGGACUACAUCCGACGAUUCUCGAAGCAGCGCACCGAGCUGCCCAACAUCACCGACUCGGAUGUCAUCGGCGCGUUCCUCGCCGGCACCACUUGCCGCGACCUGGUGAGCAAGCUGGGUCGCAAGACCCCCACCAGGGCGAGCGAGCUGAUGGACAUCGCCACCAAGUUCGCCUCUGGCCAGGAGGCGGUCGAGGCUAUCUUCCGAAAGGACAAGCAGCCCCAGGGCCGCCCAUCGGAAGAGGCUCCCGAGGCGUCUGCUCCGCGCGGCGCCAAGAAGAAAGGCAAGAAGAAGUCGCAAUCGAAACGCGACGCCGCUGACGCGGACCUUGUCGCCGCCGCCGAGUACAAGAACCCUCGGAAGCCCCUCGGAAGUGCAAACCUCUUCGACAAGAUGCUCAAGGAGCCGUGCCCCUACCAUCAGGGGCCCGUCAAGCACACCCUCGAGGAGUGCGUUAUGCUUCGGCGUCACUUCCACAGGGCCGGGCCACCCGCCGAGGGUGGCAGGGCCCGCGACGACGACAAGAACGAAGAUCACCAAGCAGGAGAGUUCCCCGAGGUCCGCGACUGCUUCAUGAUCUAUGGAGGGCAUGCGGCGAAUGCCUCGGCUCGGCAUCGCAAGCAAGAGCGCCGGGAGGUCUGUUCGGUGAAGGUGGCGGCGCCAGUCUAUCUAGACUGGUCCGACAAGCCCAUCACCUUCGACCAGGCCGACCACCCCGACCAUGUGCCGAGCCCGGGGAAAUACCCGCUCGUCGUCGACCCCGUUGUCGGCAAUGUCCGGCUCACCAAGGUCCUGAUGAAUGGGGGCAGCUGCCUCAACAUCAUCUACGCCGAGACCCUCAAGCUCCUGCGUGUCGAUCUAUCCUCCGUCCGAGCAGGCGCUGCGCCCUUCCACGGGAUCAUCCCUGGGAAGCGCGUCCAGCCCCUCGGGCGACUUGACCUCCCCGUCUGCUUCGGGACACCCUCCAACUUCCGAAGGGAGACCCUGACGUUCGAGGUGGUCGGGUUCCGAGGAACCUACCACGCCGUAUUAGGGAGGCCAUGCUAUGCGAAGUUCAUGGCCAUCCCCAACUACACCUACCUGAAGCUCAAGAUGCCGGGCCCCAACGGGGUCAUCACCGUCGGCCCCACGUACAAACACGCGUUCGAAUGCGACGUGGAGUGUGUGGAGUACGCCGAGGCCCUCGCCGAGUCCGAGGCCCUCAUCGCCGACCUGGAGAACCUCUCCAAGGAGGUGCCAGACGUGAAGCGCCAUGCCGGCAACUUCGAGCCAGCGGAGACGGUUAAGGCCGUCCCUCUUGACCCCAGUGGCGACACCACCAAGCAGAUCCAGAUCGGUUCCGGGCUCGACCCCAAAUAGGAAGCAGUGCUCGUCGACUUUCUCCACGCAAACGCCGACGUCUUUGCGUGGAGUCCCUCGGACAUGCCCGGCAUACCGAGGGAUGUCGCCGAGCACUCGCUGGAUAUUCGGGCCGGAGCCCGACCCGUCAGGCAGCCUCUGCGCCGAUUCGACGAGGAGAAGCGCAGAGUGAUUGGCGAAGAGAUCCACAAGCUAAUGGCAGCAGGGUUCAUCAAAGAGGUAUUCCAUCCCGAAUGGCUUGCCAACCCUGUGCUUGUGAGGAAGAAAGGGGGGAAAUGGCGGAUGUGUGUAGACUACACUGGUCUCAACAAAGCAUGUCCGAAGGUUCCCUACCCUCUGCCUCGCAUCGAUCAAAUCGUGGAUUCCACCGCUGGGUGCGAAACCCUGUCCUUCCUCGAUGCCUACUCAGGGUAUCACCAGAUCCGGAUGAAAGAGUCCGACCAGCUCGCGACUUCUUUCAUCACGCCGUUCGACAUGUACUGCUAUGUCACCAUGCCGUUUGGUUUGAGGAAUGCGGGCGCAACAUACCAGCGGUGCAUGAACCAUGUGUUCGGCGAACACAUCGGUCGCACAGUCGAGGCCUACGUCGAUGACAUCGUAGUCAAGACAAGGAAGGCUUCCGACCUCCUCUCCGACCUUGAAGUGACAUUCCGAUGUCUCAAGGCGAAAGGAGUCAAGCUCAAUCCUGAGAAGUGUGUCUUCGGGGUGCCCCGAGGCAUGCUCCUAGGGUUCAUCGUCUCCGAGCGAGGCAUUGAAGCCAACCCGGAGAAGAUCGCGACCAUCACCAGCAUGGGACCCAUCAAGGACUUAAAAGGUGUACAGAGGGUCAUGGGAUGCCUCGCGGCCCUGAGCCGCUUCAUCUCACGCCUCGGCGAAAGAGGUCUGCCUCUGUACCGCCUCUUAAGGAAGGCCGAGUGUUUCGCUUGGACCCCUGAGGCCGAGGAAGCCCUCGGGAACCUGAAGGCGCUCCUUACAAAGGCGCCUGUCUUGGUGCCCCCAGCUGAUGGAGAAGCCCUCUUGGUCUACGUCGCCGCUACCACUCAGGUGGUUAGCGCCGCGAUUGUGGUCGAGAGGCAAGAGGAAGGGCAUGCAUUGCCUGUUCAGAGGCCGGUCUACUUCGUCAGCGAAGUGCUGUCCGAGACCAAGAUCCGCUACCCACAAGUUCAAAAGCUGCUGUAUGCUGUGAUCCUGACAAGGCGGAAGUUACGACACUACUUCGAGUCUCAUUCGGUAACUGUGGUGUCAUCCUUCCCCCUGGGGGAGAUCAUCCAGUGCCGAGAGGCCUCGGGCAGGAUCGCAAAGUGGGCGGUGGAAAUCAUGGGCGAAAUGAUCUCGUUCGCCCCUCGGAAGGCCAUCAAGUCCCAGGUGUUGGCGGACUUCGUGGCCGAAUGGGUCGACACCCAGUUGCCGACGGCUCCGAUCCAACCGGAGCUCUGGACCAUGUUUUUCGACGGGUCGUUGAUGAAGACAGGAGCCGGCGCGGGCCUGCUCUUCAUCUCGCCCCUUGGAAAGCACCUGCGCUACGUGCUGCGCCUCCAUUUCCCGGCGUCCAACAAUGUGGCCGAGUACGAAGCUCUGGUCAACGGGUUGCGGAUCGCCAUCGAGCUAGGGGUCAGACGCCUCGACGCCCGCGGUGAUUCGCAGCUCGUCAUCGACCAAGUCAUGAAGAACUCCCACUGUCGCGACCCGAAGAUGGAGGCCUACUGCGACGAGGUUCGGCGCCUGGAAGACAAGUUCUUCGGGCUCGAGCUCAACCACAUCGCUCGGCGCUACAACGAAACCGCAGACGAGCUGGCUAAAAUAGCCUCGGGGCGAACGACGGUCCCCCCGGACGUCUUCUCCCGGGAUCUGCAUCGACCCUCUGUCAAGAUCGACGACGCGCCCGAGCCCGAGGCACCCUCAGCUCGGCCCGAGGCACCCUCGGCUCAGCCCGAGGUACCCUCGGCCCCCGAGGGCGAGACACUGGACGUCGAGGAAGAGCAGAGCGGGGCCACGCCUGAUCGAGAUUGGCAGGCCCCGUACCUGCAGUAUCUCCGUCGAGGAGAGCUACCCCUCGACCAAGUCGAGGCUCGGCGGGUAGCGCGACGCGCCAAGUCGUUCGUCUUGCUGGGCGAUGAGGAGGAGCUCUACCAUCGCAACCCCUCGGGCAUCCUCCAGCGAUGUAUCUCCAUCGCCGAAGGUCGGGAACUGCUGCAAGAAAUACACUCGGGGGCUUGCGGCCAUCACACAGCGCCCCGAGCCCUUGUCGGGAAUGCUUUCCGGCAAGGCUUCUACUGGCCAACAGCGGUGGUUGACGCCACUAGAAUUGUUCGCACCUGCGAAGGGUGCCAAUUCUAUGCGAAGCAGACCCACCUGCCCGCUCAGGCUCUGCAGACAAUACCCAUCACCUGGCCCUUCGCUGUAUGGGGUCUGGACCUCGUCGGUCCCUUGCAGAAGGCGCCCGGGGGCUACACGCACCUGCUGGUCGCCAUCGACAAAUUCUCCAAGUGGAUCGAGGUCCGACCUCUGAACAGCAUCAGGUCCGAGCAGGCGGUGGCGUUCUUCACCAACAUCAUCCAUCGCUUCGGGGUCCCGAACUCCAUCAUCACCGACAACGGUACCCAGUUCACCGGCAAAAAAUUCUUGGAUUUUUGCGAGGAUCACCAUAUCCGGGUGGACUGGGCCGCCGUGGCUCAUCCCAUGUCGAAUGGGCAAGUAGAGCGUGCCAACGGCAUGAUUCUACAAGGGCUCAAGCCUCGGAUCUACAACAACCUCAACAAGUUCGGCAAGCGGUGGAUGAAGGAACUCCCCUCGGUGGUCUGGAGCCUAAGGACGACGCCGAGUCGUGCCACGGGUUUCACGCCGUUUUUCCUGGUCUACGGGGCUGAAGCUAUCUUGCCCACUGACCUGGAAUACGGCUCCCCGAGGACGAGGGCCUACACCGAUCAAAGCAACCAAGCUAGCCGAGAGGAAUCGCUGGACCAGCUGGAGGAGGCUCGGGACAGGGCCUUACUACACUCGGCGCGGUACCAGCAGUCCCUGCGACGCUACCACGCCCGAGGGGUCCGGUCCCGAGACCUCCAGGUCGGCGAUCUGGUGCUUCGGUUGCGCCAAGACGCCCGAGGGAGGCACAAGCUCACGCCCCCCUGGGAAGGGCCAUUCGUCAUCGCCAAAGUUCUGAAGCCCGGAACAUACAAGCUGGCCAACAAUCAAGGCGAGAUCUACGGCAACGCUUGGAACAUCAAACAGCUACGUCGCUUCUACCCUUAAGAUGUUUUCAAGUUGUUCAUAUACCUCGCACCUACGCAAAGUUUAGUCGUCAAGGAAGGGUCGGCCUAGCCUCGGCAAAGCCCGACCCUCCCUCGGGGGCUAAAAGGGGGGAGACCCCCUCUGCGUCGAAUUUUUCCUUUUCCUUUUUCCUCUUUCUCUAUCUCUUGCAACAGGGACCGGGAAAGGGGGAUACCCCGAAAAGGAUCCUUCUCCGCGAAGGAACCGGGCUCCGAGCCCCCCCUACUGAUCAGGGGUUCGAAGACUGGCCCUCCGAAGGGUUCAACAGUCGCCUCAGAUCGCGUGGGCCCGACACCCACUACUGGUCAGGGGUUCGAAGGCCAGCCCCCCGAAGGGUUCCAUGGCCGCCUCAGGCUACUCGGGCUCCGCGCCCAUUACUGAUCAGGGGUUCGAAGGCUGGCCCCCGAAGGGUUCACAGUCGCCUCAGACACCGAGCGAGGGAUGACCAGGGGUACGUUCGAUACAUAACCGAGGCUCGGGCUGCGCUCCCGAGGUACCCUAGGACAUUUCCGAGACCAGCGGGAACGAUCUUGUAACGGAAUCCCAUCGGAGGGAGGCAUCGAGCCCUCGGACCCCGUCGCCAGGGGACCGGGUCCGGCAAAUCACCCGCAGGUACUUUUGGGCGUGCCUCUGGGCCCCUAGCCGACCCCCAACGAACGGGGCACGGACGUCCACUCGGAUUACCCGCUUGCAGCUCACCGGAGACACCAUGUUCGGUGCCCAUCGAGGGUAACAUGGCGCACUCCCCCCCUCCUCCUUGCGAAAAGGCGACGUAGGGGCGUAUGUAAAAAGUCGAGUCUGUCCCUGAUCGUCCUCUCGCCCUGUGCAGAGGCUCGGGGGCUGCUCUCGCAAAAACCGGCUCCGGCCAAACCGUUGACAGCGUCAACAUACCAGCCCGAGAGCUUGGGCCCCGACCGUGCACCCGGGCUACGGCCAGUUCGCAUGAGGGAACGACCAGACCAGCCGAAGCAUUGCGCAAGGUAUUAAGACCUCGAAGGAGUGUAACCACUCCUCCGAGGCCUCGGGGGCUACACCCGGCGGGUGCGCUCGCGCGCACCCACCGGAACGAAAUGCAACCGAGAAGGGCUGGUCCCCUUGCAAAAAAGUGCGACGAAAGCCUCCAAGCGAGUGCUAACACUCCCUUCGAGGCUCGGGGGCUACUGUCGGGGACCAUAAUUAGGGGUACCCUCAAGACGCCUAAUUCUCAACUGGUAACCCCCAUCAGCAUAAAGCUGCGAAGGCCUGAUGGGUACGAUUAAGUCAGGGAUCAGUCCACACGAGUGACUCGAUCACGCUUCACCCGAGCCUAGCCUCGGCCAAGGGCAGCCGACCUCGAGAGACUUCCGUCUCGCCCGAGGCCCCCCUUUUUACGGCGGACACAUCACCGGCUCGCCCGAGGCCUUGGCUUCGCUCAGAAGCAACCCUGAUUAAAUCGCCACACCGACUGACCAAAUUGCAGGAGCAUUUAACGCAAAGGUGGCCUGACACCUUUAUCCUGACACGCGCCCCCCCCGGCAGAGCCGAAGUGACCGCCGUCACUCCACCGCUCCACUGACCAGUCUGACAGAAGGACAGCGCCGCCUGCGCCACUCCGACUACGGUGCCACUCGACAGAGUGAGUCUGACAGGCAGUCAGGCCUUGCCAAAGGCGCCACGGCGAACUCCGCUCCGCCCGACCCCAGGGCUCGGACUCAGGCUAAGACUCGGAAGACGGUGAACUCCGCUCCGCCCGACCCCAGGGCUCGGACUCGGGCUAAGACCCGGAAGACGGCGAACUCCGCUCCGCCCGACCCCAGGGCUCGGACUCGGGCUAAGACCCGGAAGACGGCGAACUUCGCUCCGCCCGACCCCAGGGCUCGGACUCGGGCUAAGACCCGGAAGACGGCGAACUCCGCUCCGCCCGACCCCAGGGCUCGGACUCGGGCUAAGACCCGGAAGACGGCGAACUCCGCUCCGCCCGACCCCAGGGCUCGGACUCGGGCUAAGACCCGGAAGACGGCGAACUUCGCUCCGCCCGACCCCAGGGCUCGGACUCGGGCUAAGACCCGGAAGACGACGAAACUCCGCCUCGCCCGACCCCAGGGCUCGGACUCCGCCCUGGCCUCGGCCGAACGACCUCCGCCUCGCCCGACCCCAUGGUUCGGACUCGGCCUCGGCAACAGAAGACAGACUCAACCUCGGCUUCGGAGGAGCCCCCACGUCACCCUGCCUAGGGCACAGGCCCGCCACGUCAACAGGAAGCGCCAUCAUCGUUCUACCCCGAAUCGACUCGGGUCACGGAGAACAAGACCGGCGUCCCAUCCGGCCAGCUCCGCCGGAUGGGCAAUGAUGGCGCUCCACAAGCUCUGUGACGACGGCGGCCCCCAGCUCUCUUACGGAAGCAGGGCGACGUCAGCAAGGACUCGACCGCUCCAACAGCUGUCCCUCCGCCAGGCUCCGUCGCACCUCCGACAGCCACGACAUCACGCCAGCAAGGUGCCAAGACCUCUCCGGCUGCCACAUUGGCAUGUACCUAGGGCGCUAGCUCUCUCUCCGCUAGACACGUAGCACUCUGCUACACCCCCCAUUGUACACCUGGAUCCUCUCCUUACGACUAUAAAAGGGAGGACCAGGGCCUUCUUAGAGGAGGUUGGCCGCGCGGGACCGAGGACGGGACAGGCGCUCUCUUGGGGCCGCUCGCUUCCCUCACCCGCGUGGACGCUUGUAACCCCCCUACUGCAAGCGCACCCGACCUAGGCGCGGAACGAACACGAAGGCCGCGGAACUUCCACCUCUCUCACGCUCAACUCCGGCCACCUCGCCUCUCCCCCCUUCGCGCUCGCCCACGCGCUCGACCCAUCUGGGCUGGGGCACGCAGCACACUCACUCGUCGGCUUAGGGACCCCCCUGUCUCGAAACGCCGACAGGUCCGAACACUCACAUGAUUAAUUUAUGGAAGUUAAAUUUAAUUUGUCAUUUGCAUCGCAUUGUGGUUUAUUAUUAAUUUUGAUCUACUAUUACUUUGGGUUGGUAUACACUUACAUUUAGUAACUGCUAAUAAAAUUUGACCAACUUAUUAAAAGCAAUGCUCAGCUUCAACCCUUAUUUAUUGAUCAGCCUUACAAUUCACAUGGGCUCCCACCUUUGGUGAGUUCAUGCACGUUAUUCCGCACAACUUAUUGAGCUAUGAUCUUUUGUGAGCUCACUCUUGCGAUAUAUACCCCUCCCACAGCAGAAGAACAGGUGGUCUAGGAGGAGACCUACAACGAGGAGUACGAGUUGAUCUAGGUGGCGUCUCCCAGUCAGCUUGAUAGCGCCAAGGAAUAAUACUUAGUUCGCUUUAUUAUUCUCAUUUAUUUCUGUAAGACUUCCGCUAUGUAAUAAUGAUACUUAUGACAUUUAUCUCUAUACACUUUGUCAUUAUAUGUG
rnacentral:lncRNA from 1 species